rnacentral:rRNA from 1 species
CCUACGGGAGGCAGCAGUGGGGAAUUUUGGACAAUGGGCGCAAGCCUGAUCCAGCAAUGCCGCGUGCAGGAUGAAGGCCUUCGGGUUGUAAACUGCUUUUGUACGGAGCGAAACGGUCUGCUUUAAUACAGUAGGCUAAUGACGGUACCGUAAGAAUAAGCACCGGCUAACUACGUGCCAGCAGCCGCGGUAAUACGUAGGGUGCGAGCGUUAAUCGGAAUUACUGGGCGUAAAGCGUGCGCAGGCGGUUAUAUAAGACAGAUGUGAAAUCCCCGGGCUCAACCUGGGACCUGCAUUUGUGACUGUAUAGCUAGAGUACGGUAGAGGGGGAUGGAAUUCCGCGUGUAGCAGUGAAAUGCGUAGAUAUGCGGAGGAACACCGAUGGCGAAGGCAAUCCCCUGGACCUGUACUGACGCUCAUGCACGAAAGCGUGGGGAGCAAACAGGAUUAGAUACCCUGGUAGUCCACGCCCUAAACGAUGUCAACUGGUUGUUGGGUCUUCACUGACUCAGUAACGAAGCUAAACGCGUGAAGUUGACCGCCUGGGGAGUACGGCCGCAAGGUUGAAACUCAAAAUUGAAUUGACGGG